GGAGGAAAGCAGGGGAUCGUAAGACCUUGCGCUUUUGGAGUGGCCGAUGCCUGAUUAGCUAGUUGGUGGGGUAAAGGCCUACCAAGGCGACGAUCAGUAGUUGGUCUGAGAGGACGACCAGCCACACUGGGACUGAGACACGGCCCAGACUCCUACGGGAGGCAGCAGUGGGGAAUUUUGGACAAUGGGCGAAAGCCUGAUCCAGCAAUGCCGCGUGAGUGAAGAAGGCCUUCGGGCUGUAAAGCUCUUUCAGUCGAGAAGAAAAGAUUGUGAUGAAUAAUCACAGUUCAUGACGGUAUCGACAGAAGAAGCACCGGCUAACUACGUGCCAGCAGCCGCGGUAAUACGUAGGGUGCAAGCGUUAAUCGGAAUUACUGGGCGUAAAGGGUGCGCAGGCGGCUUUGUAAGUCAGAUGUGAAAUCCCCGGGCUUAACCUGGGAAUUGCGUUUGAAACUACAAAGCUAGA
rnacentral:rRNA from 1 species